AUUGAACGCUGGCGGCAGGCCUAACACAUGCAAGUCGAGCGAGCGGCGGCCGGGUGAGAAAUGUAUGGGGACUCCCCGAUGGGGGGGGAUAACUACUGGAAACGGUAGCUAAUACCGAAUACUCUCGAAUACCCCAUAGGGGAUUAGCUAUUAGGUGAGGUAAUGGCUCACCUAGGCGACGAUCCCUAGCUGGUCUGAGAGGAUGAUCAGCCACACUGGGACUGAGACACGGCCCAGACUCCUACGGAGGCAGCAGUGGGGAAUAUUGCACAAUGGGCGCAAGCCUGAUGCAGCCAUGCCGCGUGUAUGAAGAAGGCCCUAGGGUUGUAAAGUACUUUCAGUCGGGAGGCGUUACCGACAGAAGAAGCACCGGCUAACUCCGUGCCAGCAGCCGCGGUAAUUC
rnacentral:rRNA from 1 species